rnacentral:misc_RNA from 1 species
CUCCGUCAUCAUCUCUCUCCCGUGUGUGCCCCGCCAUCUCACCUGGCGGCAUUCUCCCCUUUUCCGAAAUACUGUGUGCGUGUGUACUUGGAGUUACCUCACCCGGAGCCAUGUCCCACCACAUGAAGAUUAAGGAUCUGCGCGAGAAGAGCAAGGAUGAUCUUCUCAAGACGCUGACGGAGUACAAGAAGGAGCUGUCGCAGCUGCGCGUGGUGCAGCAGACGGGCGGCGCCGAGACCCGCCUGGGCCGCAUCCGCCCGAUCCGCAAGAGCAUUGCUCGCAUUCUGACCGUGCUGAACCAGAACGAGCGCAGCAACCUGAAGAUGUUCUACGCGGACCGAAAGCUGCGCUGCAAGACGCCGAAGGUGCUGCGCGCGAAGCUGACGCACCGCCGCCGCCUAGCGCUGAAGGAGAACGAGAAGAACCGGAAGACGUCGCGCCAGAUGCGCCAGGCACACAAGUUCCCCAAGCGCGUGUACGCCGUCAAGAUCUAGGAUUACUGGGCCAAGUGAGAGAAGCCAUGGUUGCAGCGGAAAGAUGGAGAGCUCCCGCCUCUCCGCGACGGUGCUGAAGAACGCUGGCUUAUGAUGAGCAAAAAACGAUCAGCGCGGUGCACAGAAUGAAGUGCGGUAAAGAUGAAGAGACAACAGGAAGCCAUGGCCCUGGAGGUAAGGGGCAGGGAGUGGGUGGCGGCAGUUGGCUGAUGCUCAGACGCACAGAUGCCGCUGCCUCUGUCCAUCUCCUCUUUCUCCCCUCCGUGUGCACCUAUUCUCUUACCCGCCACUGCAAAGCAGGCGUGGUGACUUCCUCUCCGCCUCGGCAGAGUGCGGCCUGCACAUGGGGGUGUCUCUCACACACGCCCGGCCGCGCCAUCGCCCUCCUGCGGGCGUUCCUCUUUGCGGCUCGUCCACGGCGCCUUCGUUCCUUGGUUACAGCGCUUCCUUCGUUUUAUUUUUUUGUUUCGCUUCUCAUUUCUGCGUCGUGUCGACUCCACUACCAGACAUCCC